rnacentral:rRNA from 1 species
GACGAACGCUGGCGGCGUGCUUAACACAUGCAAGUCGAACGGAAAGGCCUGCUUUCCCUUGUGGAUUGCGGGUACUCGAGUGGCGAACGGGUGAGUAACACGUGAGUGAUCUGCCCCCAACUUGGGUAUAAGCCUGGGAAACUGGGUCUAAUUCCCGAUAGGACUGCAGGGUGGUGCCUGUGGUGGAAAACGAUUUUCUAGUGGUUGGGGAUGAGCUCGCGGCCUAUCAGCUUGUUGGUGGGGUAAUGGCCUACCAAGGCGGCGACGGGUAGCCGGCCUGAGAGGGUGGACGGCCACAUUGGGACUGAGAUACGGCCCAGACUCCUACGGGAGGCAGCAGUGGGGAAUAUUGCACAAUGGGCGGAAGCCUGAUGGAGCGACGCCGCGUGGGGGAUGACGGCCUUCGGGUUGUAAACUCCUUUCGACCGCGAGGAAGCCACCUGGUUGGAAGGGUGGUGACGGUAGUGGUAGAAGAAGCACCGGCUAACUACGU